AAUGGAACUAUUCAAUGAUCCCUUCCCCAAAUUCUUCAUCCGUCAAACUACUCAUACAGGAGUUUUGCUUUCUUCAGGUGCACCUCAAGAAACACAUGUUUCUCAGGAGACUGAUAUACUAACCAAUCUCUAUAAUUAUUUCUAAAUCCUGUCCUUUCAGAGUCUUGUUCUCUCCACUGGUCAUGUGAGGUUCUUAAUCCUCACUUUGCAUCAAAAUCAUUAGAUUAAAAAACAAAACAAAACAAAACCCUAAAACUACAAUACCAAGAACAAUUGAAGCUAAUAUGAAGCCAAGACUGAGAAACACUAACUCAUUGUACUGGGGACUAAACAUCAAGAAUCGCAGAGGAAGGCCUGGAGCUAAGAAUAAAACUCUACCUCACGUUCUAUGUCUAAAGAAGUUACAGAUGUAUGGGACAGACAUCCUCAUGCAGGCAUUAAAGGCAGUUAAUACUUCAGCAGACUCACUUCUCUGAUUAAAGACUUGGAGAAAACAGAGGUCACGCUGGGUGGGUGGCUCACACCUGUAAUCCCAUCACUGCCAAGGCAGGCGGAUCACCUGAGGUCAGGAGUUCAACACCAGCCUGGCCAACAAGAUGAAACCCUAUCUCUACUUUAAAAAAAAGAAAAGAAAAAUUAGCUGGGUGUGAUGCCACACACCUGAAAUCCCAGCUACUUGGGGGGCUGAGGCAGGAGAAUUGCUUGAACUUGGGAGGCGGAGGUUUCAGUGAGCCAAGUUAUGCCACUGCACCCCAGCCUGGGUGACAAAGUGAAACCCUGUCUCAAAAAAAAAAAAGAAAGAAAGAAAGAAAAGAAAGAAAACAGGGGUUAUCUCUUAGGGAGAUGCAUUUUGUGGAGGGCUGACUAUCCCUUCCACCAUCUCUUACUGUUUGGGGAGUUAGAAUGUGACCUAGGCAUUCCACAUGAACUAAAAUGUGCUUCCCACCAACACCACUAAGCUGGGGAUUGGAGAUUGGCUCUGAUCUGAAAGUUGUCACAUCAUUGACCUGACACAGCACCUGAUCCUUGGGAGAGCAGAGGGAGGAGAGAGGUGCUGAAGCUGAGAAGUGCCAGAGGACAGACUGCAUUGCCACUCUUUGGAGUAGCAAGAAUAAAGGGUUUCGCAUGGCACUGAUAAAUACCAAGGAAGGUGGCGGGAGGCUUAAGUCUUCGUGCUUUCCCAUGAAACUGGGUACUAUGGUAUGAAGAAGAUUGUUACACCUGAGAGAGGUCUCCACCUGAAGCCUGGUCAGAAAUAUCCUAUAGAGUCCACUGAAGAACCAGCAUAUGUGUCUCAAGAGAGACCACAUUCAGACUCCUUCCUAUGGAUUCAACCAAAAGACAGUCUGUUGGCCAAAUAAACAGCCACAACCUACGGAGAGAAGUGAGGACAAGACAACCUCACUAGAGGCAGGCAGGUAAGAGGAGUCAAUGUCAGCCUCAGUUUCUACAUCAGAGGGUAACUGUCAGGCCUCUGAGCCCAAGCCAACCCAUCGCAUCCCCUGUGACUUGCACAUAUACGCCCAGAUGGCCUGAAGUAACUGAAGAAUCACAAAAGAAGUGAAUAUGCCCUGCCCCACCUUAACUGAUGACAUUCCACCACAAAAGAAGUGUAAAUGGCCGGUCCUUGCCUUAACUGAUGACAUUACCUUGUGAAAGUCCUUUUCCUGGCUCAUCCUGGCUCAAAAAGCACCCCCACUGAGCAUCUUGCGACCCCCACUCCUGCCCGCCAGAGAACAAACCCCCUUUGACUGUAAUUUUCCUUUACCUACCCAAAUCCUAUAAAACGGCCCCACCCUUAUCUCCCUUCACUGAUUCUCUUUUUGGACUCAGCCUGCCUGCACCCAGGUGAAAUAAAGAGCCAUGUUGCUCACACAAAGCCUGUUUGGUGGUCUCUUCACACCGACGCACAUGAAAUUUGGUGCCGUGACUCAGAUCGGGGGACCUCCCUUGGGAGAUCAAUCCGCUGUACUCCUGUUCUUUGCUCCUUGAGAAAGAUCCACCUAUGACCUCAGGUCCUCAGACCGACCAGCCCAAGGAACAUCUCACCAAUUUUAAAUCGGGUAAGCAGCCUCUUCUUACUCUCUUCUCCAACCUCUCUCACUGUCCCUCAACCACUUUCUCCUUUCCACUCUUCAAUCUCUCCCUUCUCUUAAUUUCAAUUCCUUUCAUUUUCUGGGAGAGACAAAGGAGACACGUUUUAUCCGUGGACCCAAAACUCCGGCGCCAGUCACGGACUGGGAAGGCAGCCUUCCCUUGGUGUUUAAUCAUUGCAGGGACGCCUCUCUGAUUAUACACCCACGUUUCAAGGGUGUCAGACCACGCAGGGACGCCUGCCUUUGUCCUUCACCCUUAGCAGCAAGUCCCGCUUUUCUGGGGAAGGGGCAAGUACCCCAACUCCUUCUCUCCUUGUCUCUACCCCUUCUCUUCUUUUCUGGGAGAGGGGCAGGUACCCCUCAACCCCUUCUCCUUCACCCUUAGCGGCAAGUCCCGCUUUUCUACGGGGCAAGAAUCCCCAAUUCCUUAUUUCCAUGCCCCAACCUCUUAUCUCUGCACCCCAACCCCUUAUUUCUGCACCCCAACCUCUUAUAUCUCUGUGCCCCAAUCCCUUAUUUCUGCACCCCAACCUCAUAUCUCUGCACCCCAACCCCUUUUCCCACUUUUCUGGAAGGUAAGAACCCCCAAACCCCUUCCCUCCGUUUCUCUACUCUCUCUUUUCUCUAGGCUUGCUUCCUUCACUAUGGGCAACCUUCCACCCUCCAUUCCUCCUUCUACUCCCUUGGCCUGUGUUCUCAAAAACUUAAAACCUCUUCAACUCACACCUGACCUAAAACCUAAAUGCCUUAUUUUCUUCUGCAAUGCCGCUUGACCCCAAUACAAACUCGACAGUAGUUCCAAAUAGCCAGAAAAUGGCACUUUGAAUUUUUCCAUCCUGCAAAAUCUAAAUAAUUCUUGUAAAAUAGGCAAACGGUCUGAGGUGCCUGACAUCCAGGCAUUCUUUUACACAUCAGUCCCUUCCUAGUCUCUGUGCCCAGUGCAACUCGUCCCAAAUCAUCCUUCUUUCCCUCCUGCCUGUCCCCUCAGUACCAACCCCAAGCGUUGCUGAGUCUUUCUAAUCCUCCUUUUCUACAGACCCAUCUGACCUCUCCCUUCCUCCCCAGGCUGCUCCUCGCCAGGCCGAGCUAGGUCCCAAUUCUUCCUCAGCCUCUGCUCCUCCACCCUAUAAUCUUUUUAUCACCUCCCCUCCUCACACCUGGUCCGGCUUAUAGUUUCGUUCCGUGACUAGCCCUCCCCCACCUGCCCAGCAAUUUACUCUUAAAAAGGUGGCUGGAGCCAAAGGCAUAGUCAAGGUUAAUGCUCCUUUUUCUUUAUCCCAAAUCAGAAGCGUUUUGGCUCUUUUUCAUCAAAUAUAAAAAUCCAGCCCAGUUCAUGGGCAGCAACCCUGAGACGCUUUACAGCCCCAGACCCUAAAAGGUCAAAAGGCCGUCUUAUUGUCAAUAUACAUUUUAUUACCCAAUCUGCUCCCGACAUUAAAUAAAACUCCAAAAAUUGGAAUCUGGCCCUCAAACCCCACAACAGAACUUAAUUAACCUCACCUUCAAGGUGUACAAUAACAGAAAAAAGUUGCAAUUCCUUGCCUCCACUGUGAGACAAACCCCAGCCACAUCUCCAGCACACAAGAACUUCCAAACACCUGAACCGCAGCAGCCAGGUGUUCCUCCAGAACCUCCUCCCCCAGGAGCUUGCUACACGUGCCGGAAAUCUGGCCACUGGGCCAAGGAAUGCCUGCAGCCCGGGAUUCCUCCUAAGCCGUGUCCCAUCUGUGUGGGACCCCACUGAAAAUUGGACUGUUCAACUCACCUGGCAGCCACUCCCAAAGCCCCUGGAACUCUGGCCCAACGCUCUCUGACUGACUCCUUCCCAGAUCUUCUCGGCUUAGCGGCUGAAGACUGACACUGCCGGAUCACCUCGGAAGCCCCCUAGACCAUCAUGGACGCCGAGCUUCAGGUAACUCUCACAGUGGAAGGUAAGUCCGUCCCCUUCUUAAUCAAUAGGGAGGCUACCCACUCCACAUUACCUUCUUUUCAAGGGCCUGUUUCCCUUGCUUCCAUAACUGUUGUGGGUAUUGACAGCCAGGCUUCUAAACCUCUUAAAACUCCCCAACUCUGGUGCCAACUUAGACAAUACUCUUUUAAGCACUCCUUUUUUAGUUAUCCCCACCUGCCCUGUUCCCUUAUUAGGCCGAGACACUUUAACUAAAUUAUCUGCUUCCCUGACUAUUCCUGGACUACAGCUAUAUCUCAUUGCCGCCCUUCUGCCCAAUCCAAAGCCUCCUUUGUGUCCUCCUCUUGUAUCCCCCCACCUUAACCCACAAGUAUAAGAUACCUCUACUCCCUCCUUGGCGACCGAUCAUGCACCCCUUACCAUCUCAUUAAAACCUAAUCACCCUUACCCCACUCAACACCAAUAUCCCAUCCCACAGCAUGCUUUGAAAAGAUUAAAGCCUGUUAUCACUCACCUGCUACAGCACGGCCUUUUAAAACCUAUAAACUCUCCUUACAAUUCCCCCAUUUUACCUGUCCUAAAACCAGACAAGCCUUCCAAGUUAGCUCAGGAUCUGCGCCUUAUCGACCAAAUUGUUUUGCCUAUCCACCCUGUGGUGCCCAACCCAUACACUCUUUUGUCCUCAAUACCUUCCUCCACAACUCACUAUUCUGUGCUUGAUCUUAAAGAUGCUUUUUUCACUAUUCCCCUGCACCCCUCGUCCCAGCCUCUCUUUGCUUUCACUUAGACUGACCCUGAGACCCAUUAGACUCAGCAAAUUACCUAGGCUGUACUGCCGCAAGGCUUCAUAGACAGCCCCCAUUACUUCAGUCAAGCCCAAAUUUUAUCCUCAUCUGUUACCUAUCUCGGCAUAAUUCUCAUAAAAACAUACAUGCUUUCCCUGCUGAUCAUGUCCGAUUAAUCUCCCAAACCUCAAUCCCUUACAAAACAGCAACUCCUUUCCUUCCUAGGCAUAGUUAGUGUGGUCAGAAUUCUUACACAAGAGCCAGGACCGCACCCUGUAGCCUUUCUGUGCAAACAACUUGACCUUACUGUUUUAGCCUAGCACUCAUGUCUGCGUGCAGCAGCUACCACUGCUUUAAAAAUUUUAGAGGCCCUCAAAAUCACAAACUAUGCUCAACUCACUCUUUACAGUUCUCAUAACUUCCAAAAUCUAUUUUCUUCCUCAUACCUGACGCAUAUACUUUCUGCUUCCCGGCUCCUUCAGCUGUACUCACUCUUUGUUGAGUUUCCCACAAUUACCAUUGUUCCUGGCCCGGACUUCAAUCCAGCCUCCCACAUUAUUCCUGAUACCACACCUGACCCCCAUGACUGUAUCUCUCUGAUCCACCUGACAUUCACCCCAUUUCCCCAAAUUUCCUUCUUUCCUGUUCCUCACCCUGAUCACGCUUGAUUUAUUGAUGGCGGUUCCACCAGGCCUAAUCGCCACACACCAGCAAAGGCAGGUUAUUCUAUAGUACAAGCCACUAGCCCGCCUCUUAGAACCUCUCAUUUCCUUUCCAUCGUGGAAAUCUAUCCUCAAGGAAAUAACUUCUCAGUGUUCCAUCUUCUAUUCUACUACUCCUCUGGGAUUAUUCACGCCCCCUACCUUCCCUACACAUCAAGCUCGAGGAUUUGCCCCCACCCAGGACUGGCAAAUUAGCUUUACUCAACAUGCCCGAGUCAGGAAAUUAAAAUACCUCUUAGUCUAAAUAGACACUUUCACUGAAUAAGUAAAGGCCUUUCAUACAGGGUCUGAGAAGGCCACCGCAGUCAUUUCUUCCCUUCUGUCAGACAUAAUUCCUCAGUUUAGCCUUCCCACCUCAAUACAGUCUGAUAACAGACGAGCCUUUAUUAGUCAAAUCAGCCAAGCAGUUUUUCAGGCUCUUAGUAUUCACUGAAACCUUUAUAUCCCUUAUGGUCCUCCAUCUUCAAGAAAAGUAGAAUGGACUAAAGGUCUUUUAAAAACACACCUCACCAAGCUCAGCCACCAACUUAAAAAAGACUGGACAAUACUUCUACCACUUUCCCUUCUCAGAAUUCAGGCCUGUCCUCAGAAUGCUACAGGGUACAGCCCAUUUAAGCUCCUGUAUAGAUGCUCCUUUUUAUUAGGCCCCAGUCUCAUUCCAGACAACAGACCAACUUAGACUGUGCCCCGCCCCCCCCCAAAAAAAAACUUGUCAUCCUACUAUUUUCUGUCUAGUCAUACUCCUAUUCACCAUUCUGAACUACUCAUACAUGCCCUGCUCUUGUUUACACUGCCGGUUUACACUGUUUUUCCAAGCCAUCACAGCUGAUAUCUCCUGGUGCUAUCCCCAAACUGCCACUCUUAACUCUUGAAGUAAAUAAAUAAUCUUUGCUGGCAGGACUCUGCCGAAUCUCCUUAAGCACUCUCUAAUCAGAUAUCCUGAGUUGUCCCAAUUCUUAGACCUUUUAUACCUGUUUUUCUCCUUCUGUUAUUCCAUUUAGUUUUUCAAUUCAUACAAAACCGUAUCCAGGCCAUCACCAAUCAUUCUAUACGACAAAUGUUUCUUCUAACAUCCCCACAAUAUCACCCCUUACCACAAGACCUCCCUUCAGCUUAAUCUCUCCCACUCUAGGUUCCCACGCCGCCCCUAAUCCCGCUUGAAGCAGCGCUGAGAAACAUCGCCCAUUCUCUCUCCAUACCACCCCCCAAAAGUUUUCGCCGCCCCAACACUUCAACACUAUUUUGUUUUAUUUUUCUUAUUAAUAUAAGAAGGCAGGAAUGUCAGGCCUCUGAGCCCAAGCCAAGCCAUCGCAUCCCCUGUGACUUGCACGUAUACGCCCAGAUGGCCUGAAAUAACUGAAGAAUCACAAAAGAAGUGAAUAUGCCCUGCCCCACCUUAACUGAUGACAUUCCACCACAAAAGAAGUGUAAAUGGCCGGUCCUUGCCUUAACUGAUGACAUUACCUUGUGAAAGUCCUUUUCCUGGCUCAUCCUGGCUCAAAAAGCACCCCCACUGAGCACCUUGCGACCCCCACUCCUGCCCGCCAGAGAACAAACCCCCUUUGACUGUAAUUUUCCUUUACCUACCCAAAUCCUAUAAAACGGCCCCACCCUUAUCUCCCUUCACUGACUCUCUUUUCGGACUCAGCCUGCCUGCACCCAGGGUGGUUUUCAUGGAGACAAAAGGUGGAGAAGGACAGUCCCGUGAAGUGGAUGCAACAGUUGAAGGUAACAGUAAGUCUUCAUCAAGAGCCAGACAUGCCUUAGAAUAACAGCAGGUGAAGAGAGAAAAAGUACAGGAAAACAAACAAGGAUGGAAGUAUGGUACAGGAGGGUGCACAGUGAAUAGAAGAAAAUGCUAUGGAAGACUACUCCUCACCGAGCAAAACCCGACUAGGUGGAACGUGGACUGAAGGUGGAGAUGAAUUCAAGAGUUUUACGGAGGGCACCUGUCACCUAAUCACAGCGCCAACGACGCUACCAAGAAAGCAUCAUGGCCUUUUCUUUUACAGGCACUUUGUUUACAGGACAAAUCAAGGAAAUCAAGGAAAAGGCAUCUUUUCUCUUCCAGAUCACUUUUAGAAUCCAAGAUUUGGUACACUGGGACAAAUAAAAACACAUAGCUAUGAAAGGGUCGAUGAGAUCCCAUUUGUAACUUGGCUAAAUAGAGUUGUUUCAGUACCUGACAACUUGAGUUCAAUCUGUAUUAUUCUGAAUGUAUAAUUGAUGUGGCCAUCAGUUUCCAGUAAAGGAACUUUUGUUUUGCUUUUUUCCCCCCACUUUCCCUCAGAAGGAAUGGCUUUCUCAUUAGGAAAUGUUCGCAUGCCCUCAGAAAAGGUGUUUGGAAUAGAAAGACUCCCCGGAAUCAGAUUAAAAUGCCAGCAGAGUUGAGUAUGUUCUUCCCCAUUUUGAGCUAGUUAAAUGAGAACUCACGCCAUUCUCCACACAGGGAACUUCUUAGGUAAAACUAUUAAAGCCAUGGAACCAUUUACUUAGUGUGGUUAUUAAAAUCCUAUGGCACUCUGGUGAACAGUGCUGUGGACUGGCAGCCAGAAUAUCUUUUCCAAUUCUAGCCCCUAUAUUUCCUGGAUUUAUAGAAGCAAAGCAACUAGGAAAGCUGUAGGUCUUCUCACCCAUUUUGUAGAUAUUUGUUGAGUACCCAAUGUUUUAGGCACUGGAGUACAAUAAUAAACCAGAUCUAGCACAGUCCUUGCCUUCACAGUUCAGAGUCAUGAAGGAAACAAACCAGUAAAAAGGCAAUUGUAACGUCAUACCCAUUAGCAUGGCCAUGAUAAAAGAGAGAGAGAGAGGAGGAAAAAAAGGAAAGAAAGAAGUGUUGGUGAGGACACUAAACAAUCAGAACCCUCAUACAGUGUUGGUGUCAAUGUAAAAUGAUGCGGCUACUCUAGAAAAGUCCUCCAAAAGCUCAAUACAGAAUCAGAAUAACCAUACAAUGUAGCAGUGUCACUGCUAGGUACAUACUCAAGACCAUUGAAAACAUGGCCAUACAAAAACUUGUACACAAAUGUUAAUAGAAGCAUUAUUUAUUAAUACUCAAAAAGUGGAAACAAUCCAAAUGUCCAUCAGCUGACGAAUGGAUAUACAAAAUGUGGUACAUACAUACAAUGGAAUAUUUCAACCAUAAAAUGAAAUGAAGUACUGAUACAUAAUACAACAUGGAUGAACCUUAGAAACAUAUUUAGUGCAAGAAGACAGA
rnacentral:lncRNA from 1 species